GUGGGUGUAGCUCAAUGGCAGAGUGCGUGACUGUGGAUCACGAUGUUGUGGGUUCGACCCCCAUCACCCACCCCA
rnacentral:tRNA from 1 species